rnacentral:pre_miRNA from 1 species
AAUGCAUGACGCCGUUGACUUUUUGUCCAACGUUUGACCAUUCGUCUUAUUAAAAAAAAAUGUAACUAUCAAUUAUUUUGUGGUGACUUGAUUCGUCAUCGAAUGUUCUUUAAGCAUGACAUAAAUAUUUUGAUAUUUGCACAAAAAUUUUGAAUAAAACGAAUGGUCAAACGUUGGUCGAAAAGUCAACGGCGUCAUACAUU